rnacentral:rRNA from 1 species
UAGAGGAGAUUAUGCUAAAAUAAGUAAUAAGAGAGUAUAUGACUCUCUCCCGGCACACGUGUAAGCCAGAUCGGACCAACCACUGGCAAAUAACGGACCCAACAACGAGGGCACAACAAAAUAUAAAAUUAAACAAGAAAACCCUAUAACCAAACUAUAACCGUUAACCCAACACAGGAGCGCCACAAGGAAAGACUAAAAGGAGAAGAAGGAACUCGGCAAACAUAAACCCCGCCUGUUUAACAAAAACAUCGCCUCUUGCCAACAAAAGAUGUAUAAGAGGUCCCGCCUGCCCAGUGACCACGUCGUUCAACGGCCGCGGUAUUUUAACCGCGCUAAGGUAGCGUAAUCAUUUGUCUCUUAAAUGGAGACCUGUAUGAAUGGCACCACGAGGGUUUGACUGUCUCCUUCCCCCAGUCAAUGAAAUUGAUCUGCCCGUGCAGAAGCGGACAUAAUAACAUAAGACGAGAAGACCCUAUGGAGCUUUAGGCAAAAGAUUAAACAUGUAAAGAGAAUUAUUCAACCCUAAAGGGACCAAAUGAUUUUAAACCUAAUGUAAAUAUAAUUCCCAUGCCUUCGGUUGGGGCGACCGCGGGGGAAAAUAAAGCCCCCGCAUGGAAUUGAAGACACCUUCCAAGACAAAGAACCACAGUUCUAAACAACAGAACAUCUGACCACAAGUGAUCCGGGACAAAAUAUUACCCGAUCAAUGAACCAAGUUACCCUAGGGAUAACAGCGCAAUCCUUUCCCAGAGCCCAUAUCGACGAAAGGGUUUACGACCUCGAUGUUGGAUCAGGACAUCCUAAUGGUGAAGCCGCUAUUAAGGGUUCGUUUGUUCAACGAUUAAUAGUCCUACGUGAUCUGAGUUCAGACCGGAGUAAUCCAGGUCGGUUUCUAUCUAUGAACUUGCUCCUUGCCAGUACGAAAGGACCGCAAGAAAAGGGCCCAUACCAAAAGCAAGCCCCAACCCCACCCUCUGAAAACAAAUAAAAAGG